CCUACGGGUGGCAGCAGUGAGGAAUAUUGGUCAAUGGACGCAAGUCUGAACCAGCCAUGCAGCGUGCAGGAAGACGGCCCUAUGGGUUGUAAACUGCUUUUGUACGAGGGUAAACUCAGACACGCGUAUCUUUCUGAAAGUACCUUAUGAAUAAGGAUCGGCUAACUCCGUGCCAGCAGCCGCGGUAAUACGGAGGAUUCGAGCGUUAUCCGGAUUUAUUGGGUUUAAAGGGUGCGUAGGCGGUCGGAUAAGUUAGAUGUGAAAUCUCGAGGCUCAACUUCGGAAUUGCCACUGAUACUGUUAGGCUAGAGAGUAGUUGCGGUAGGCGGAAUGUAUGGUGUAGCGGUGAAAUGCUUAGAGAUCAUACAGAACACCGAUUGCGAAGGCAGCUUACCAAGCUACUUCUGACGUUGAGGCACGAAAGCGUGGGGAGCAAACAGGAUUAGAUACCCCUGUAGUC
rnacentral:rRNA from 1 species